CCUACGGGAGGCAGCAGUGAGGAAUAUUGGUCAAUGGACGAGAGUCUGAACCAGCCAAGUAGCGUGAAGGAUGACUGCCCUAUGGGUUGUAAACUUCUUUUAUAUGGGAAUAAAACGUUCCACGUGUGGGAUUUUGUAUGUACCAUAUGAAUAAGGAUCGGCUAACUCCGUGCCAGCAGCCGCGGUAAUACGGAGGAUCCGAGCGUUAUCCGGAUUUAUUGGGUUUAAAGGGAGCGUAGGUGGAUUGUUAAGUCAGUUGUGAAAGUUUGCGGCUCAACCGUAAAAUUGCAGUUGAAACUAGCAGUCUUGAGUACAAUAGAGGUGGGCGGAAUUCGGGGUGUAGCGGUGAAAUGCUUAGAUAUCACGAAGAACUCCGAUUGCGAAGGCAGUUCACUGGACUGCAACUGACACUGAGGCUCGAAAGUGUGGGUAUCAAACAGGAUUAGAUACCCCAGUAGUC
rnacentral:rRNA from 1 species